GAAUUAAAUAAAUUUAAGCUUCUAACUUAAUUAUUAGCAUUUAUGUUAUUAAUUCU
rnacentral:tRNA from 1 species